GGGGUGGCUCAGUGGCAGAAUAUCUGCUUUACAUUCAGAAAGUCUCAGGUUCGAUCCCUGACAUCUCCA
rnacentral:tRNA from 1 species